CUGACAGCUCCUCUCCAGAUAGGCAGGGAGGCAGGAGCUGCUGCAGGGGGGCCUGGGAGCUGAGCUGCUCCCCUGCCCCCCCCAACAUGAGACAGGCAGCUGUUUCAUCAAAGCAUGAGCUAAUUAGGGCUGUCUCUGCCAUCAUGUGCCUAAGGAACAUUCACCCAUGACAGGAGGGUCCAGGAAGAGAAGACGACCACUCUGAGAGAUUCACACAAACAUCAAAUGCUGCCUCCCCAAGGGGGACUGCGAGAUCUGACAUCACAUCAGCCUUUGGGAGCACUGCCAAGGAGUCCCAUCCCUCAUGGGCCCUCGGAGCAGCAGAGACAAGGCCCUCCAAAGACAGCACAAAGCUCAUCACAGCACCCCAUCAUCGCAGCCCCAGUUAAUCACCCAGGGCUGGGCCACCAAAGCCCUUCCACUUGCUGCACUGGGACCAGGGCAAAGAGAAGUCCCUUCUUCAGAAGGUAGGCUGAUGUGGGCCGGGAGCCACCCACAGCCAAGCCAGCAGCAGCCAGUCCCACCCACUCUGUCUCCCUCAGGCAGCUCUUCCCACUCCAUUUCCAGUAGGAGAGAAGAGAGCUCCAACAUGGGAUAAGUAAACCGGAGAGAAAAGAGGAAGUCUGACCUUUUGUAAAUUGCUGAAAUCGGGUUCAUAAGGCAAUAAAUUCAUGUUUUCACCCACAGCCAGGUCCGUGGGUAGGGCAGGACCACGGCCAAACCUGGGCUGUGACAGUGCGCAGCCUUGGCAGCCCUGGGUCCAUGCCCUGCCUGGCCUCUUCACAUGAUCAGCUUAAACGAGGUGCCCAUGGGACCCUGGGAACUCCGGGCCUUACCCCAGGGUUCCCACAGCUUCAGGAGUUUCCUAAAAGGCCACCCUGUGAAGUGGCCUUUUAGGGCUGCCCAGGGAAGGGGUUGCAGAAACACAGCAGAGGAAGAGGGGGAAGAUGAGGCCUGCGCCUCCAGCUGCUCCUCCGUCCAUCCAGGCAGGGCCAGUAGAGCUGAGGGUUUCCUGAGCAAUCUCCCGCCAAGGGCAGAAUCUGCUCCCAGAAACAGACCCUCUCUCCACAGGCAGCUCCGCCUUGGGCUCUAAAUGUGCACAGCCUGGGGCUGGGGGAGGCAACUACCAAAACAGCUCAGAGUGAGGCCUCUGGACAUGCAGGGGCCAGGGCCUGGAGGACCCUUGCUGGGAAUUUCAUGAGCAAUGGCUGAUGACCUUGGGCAAAUUUUCACCUAUGAGGCAGAGCUAGGACUACCCGUGUUAAAGACAGAAUAGUUAAUGAAUGCCAAAAUGCCACAGUGCUAGCCAAUGCACUGUGGCCAAAAGAUAAUUACAGCAGGUUUACUACACGAAGAAGUCAGACCACAUUCUUGAGAGCACAGCUUGAUUCAGCCCGGAUGCCUCGAGCACAUAUCACGUAUGCCAGCCCCAUCCUCCUCCAGCCUAUGGACUCCGGACCAGAGCUGCAGCCCACCCCUGGAGGGGCCAGUCCUGCUGGCUGGAAGCCCAAACCCAGAAAGCAAAAAACUAAGUGCGGCUCUGGAGUCAGAGAGACCUACGAGCAAGUCUGAGAUUCUAGUGUUUUCAGCUGCGUGACUGAGGAUUUGGAAGUCGUAUAGACUACAAAUCUCUCUGCCGCGCAACAUACAUAACAAGUCCCCAAAAUAUCCUUUGUUUGCUGAGGUUUUGCUCAGAUAUUUAAGGUUCUGACAGUUUAAAUAUGGUGAACAAUAUGGUGAACCAUCCAAAUAUUUUGCAUCAUUGGUAUUUGGAAAGAUCUUUAAGAACAAUUAGUUCUAGUUCUGAGAGGCAAGUGCAGCACCCCGGCUCCCAGUUUUCCAUGGGGGCGGAUCAACAUGGCCUCCUCAGCCAGCUCCAUUUCACACGGAGUCUCAGGCCACCCACAGCAUGGAUUUCCUGGGCCUGGUCACUUGGCUCACACUGUUACAGAGAAGGAAACUGGGCAGAUCCACUGACUCCUCAGCCAGGUGCAUGGUUCACCAGGUCUCACUGGAGGCUGAGAAAAAUACAGAGCUUCCCCUAAUGCAGGAGCAACACUGGGACGCCUGACCUUGCUCAAGGCCCUUUGACCUGACUCACCAGAUGCUCGAAUGGGAACCUAAAGGAAAGUGGAGACUUCCCAUUCUGUGGACAUCUUUAAGAACUGGAGAAAAGUUCCAAUUACUUACAGCUUCAAGGGACAGAAUGAUGGAUGGCUUCGUUUGUGAACAUGCUAUUUGUCUGAGGCUCUUUGUCCAGUCAGCUGGUUGCCAAAUACUGAUCACGCCCAGUGUGCACAGGGGCCUCAGCUAAGAGUACCAGCGCUAGAGCAAAGAAAGAACAUAGUUCCCGUCUCUAUCAGAAGAAAUUAACAGCCGACAGAGAUGCGCAGAGAGUCACUCUGAGAGAAGCCACUGGGUGCGAGGGUUGUCUGAAAAAUGGAGGAGCUGAGCAAGAGGGCAUGCUGGAAGAAUGACCUUGACAAGAUCAAAAGUUAUUAAAAUAGGAGGAGGAAGGCUAAACUUCUGUAUGUACUGCCCAACUGAAGGCAGAUGAAAACCUACUUUUUUUCCCCAAAAGAAAAUGUUAAGAAUCACCUUCCACAGACUCUUUUAACUCUAUUUCUGAUAAAUCAUUAAAAGGCCUUCUGCUGGAAUCAUUCCAAUGCUAAAGAAAAAGUUACACUCAUAAAAUAGUUAAUGUCAAAAUGUAAAUGGUUUGUUUAAGAUUCAGCAAUUGUUGCUGAAUCAAACACAAAAUCUCUAUGGCUUGAAUAGCAAGGGAAACAAAAGGCUUGACGAUUUAGUGCUCGUUAAAGCCUGUCUGGCUGAAUUUUAGAUUGCAACUUAAAAGAAAAAAACAUUAAACCAGUUCAAGUGUGAACUGACAUAUGCACAGCAGUUUUCAGCUGCCUGCAAAUGGGGCAAGGACACAGCCUGGAAUGUGACUUGCACACGCCAUGGCUGAGUAUGGACCAAUGUCCAGGGUACAAGGGCAGGGCCUGAGGGAACAAAGCCCCACAAGAAAGCGUGGGGAAGCUGAGCCCAGGGGCCCACCAGGGGCUGAGGGUGACGCUGGGAAGAGGGCCAAUCCCCAUUAGCUCUUUCCUGCAGGGAGGCUGGGGGCUUGAGAACAAUCAAAUGCUAGGCAGGGGCUCCCCUCUUGCCUGGGGAGGUGUGGAAGCAACAGCUUUUUGCUCUCCCUCCCCUUUUCUGGUCUUGCUUGUCAGACACUUGCAUGAGCCACAGUGGGACUCCUGCCCCUUCAAAUCUCAUCACAGGCCUGGUGACCCCCACAACCCUCAAGUCGGGUGUUAGAAAUAGUCCUUUGUGGUAGGUUUGUGGGGGGGUGAGCAGAAUCUUUGUCUACAUUCUCUUGCCUACUGGGAUAUAAACGCUUAAAAUUUCACCAUCUGGGAUUUACUUCUUUGAGUCUUAAAGACAAUUCUGUCUUUCAGGGUCCUCUAUUAAAAUGCCAUUGUCCCUGGGUUGGGAGGACGCUGUAUAAGUAGGGUGACCACAUAAUUUAUUGUCCAAACUGGGACACUUUUAAGAAAGAGGCACCAUUAAUUACUGCACUGGGACAAGAAGCAUAAACAGAACAUAUGGUCACUCUCUGUAUAAGUCUUUGUGUUAAGUUCUAUGGAAGAUACAAAGGUGAAUAAAGCGCUUUCAUGGCCCCGGAACCUGGACCUUGAGCUGAGGGGCAGGAGAUCCUGGGAACAGGCCAAUGCUAGGCACCCACGGAGGGAAUAACAGCACUCCAGAGGGCAGUGUCAGGGCAGCUUAGCAAAGACCAAGGGCUCUGGAGCCACACAGAUUUGACUUUGAAUCCUGGACUUCUUUCUGUACAACCCUUAAGACAGGUCAAUUAACCUGCCUCUCAUAAUUUGUGCCCCAUAAAUUAUGUGGUCACCCUACUUAUACAAAUGAGGAAGGACCCAGCUUCCUCUGUCAAAUGAGGGUUACUUCAUGAGGCUCGUGAGGAUUAAACGAGAUACUGAAUGUAA